AUGGAUAUUGGGAGAUACGACUUCGAAUGGAAGGAGGUACAGGAUAUCAAUGGCCAUGUCCUGCUUAUAGCGCACAUGUCCUUCGCAUUCAGGGGUUUAGGCUUCCUGGCCAUGACAUGGAGCACGGUGGUUCUUCUCGGUGGCUUCGUCUCCAUGAUAGACAAGCAAGAUUUUUGGAACCUCACCACCAUUACCUUCCUGCAAAUACUCUGGUUAGUAUGUGUCAAUCUCGUUUCCAAGCAUUUCUUAUUACUACUUCUGAAUUUCAUCACAAUUUUUGUGAGCGGCCUCGUAUUAUCUACCUACUCGGUCGAUCGAUAUUUACUCUUCUAUAUCGAUCAGAGACCCUCCCAGGUUCCAUUACUUAGAUUGAUCAGAGGAUCCAUCAGUUCUUUUGCGGCGGCUAGCUAA
rnacentral:rRNA from 1 species